CAGUACCAUAUUUCUAUAUUACAGUAAAAUACUGUAAUUUAUAUUGCAUUCUGGGUAAUUUUGAUUGAGCAGGAAUAUUUUACAGUACAUUUUAGUGUUGCUGUAACCCUGCUGUAACCUGGCUGUAAUAUACCAGGCAAUAAUACAGGAUUGCUGUAAAUAACGCGCCACCUGACGUCACAUCACACAGACAGAAGAACACGGCCGCUGGUGACUGGAGAAGCAGAACGGUGUAUUUCUGGAAGUUUGCAGUGUGGUCCACUUGUCUUUGCAUCCUGGGAAGUGCAUUGCUUUCACAAGGAAGCGUAUUUUUUUGGCAUUGAAGGAAAGAAAUGUACUGCCCGACAGGGAGUGAGCAGAAGACCAGGACGGUGGUGCAGAGUGAUGGCCAUCAACCCACAUGUCAACAGCUUCGUUCGGUCCUUUGUGUUUAAAUGGAAGACUUCACACUGAGGGACUGUGGCCUGUUUGCAACCAUCCACGUGCCCUUCAG